AAAAAGCUCAGGCUGGACUUCUCCUUUAACAGAAAAGAUCAGAUAUACAGGCAGUGUGCACACAGAGCAGUUGGUUUAUGGUCGGCAUUUUAUACUUCCUUGUUGACCUGAAACUCAGGCAAAGUGAAACAAAAGCCAGUCUGUGAAGAUUCCUCGGCAUAGUAAAGUCCGUCUACAUAUCAGGUCUUCAUUGUGCCUCUCCUACUACCUAACAGGAUACAAGACAAAAUACAGGGUG